AAGGGAGACCUAAUUCCGGUAGGAGACGAAAAAAAAGUAGUACCAACCGAGAAUCAAUCCCAAAAGGUCGGAGCGAGGCGAAAUUGGCUUUCAAACUAGGUUCUGGGUUCACACAAGACCUGAAUCAGGAACAAGGGCUAUUAGCUCAGGUGGUUAGAGCGCACCCCUGAUAAGGGUGAGGUCCCUGGUUCGAGUCCAGGAUGGCCCACCUGCACAGGUGGCAAAAACAAGAGAAGCGAGGAAUCAGCACCUUAUCUUACUGACAUAGUAAGAGAGAAUGCUGGCUCUGAGUAAAGAGUCCAGAGGAACCUUGAAAACUGCAUAGAGCUAGGUGAAAAAGCCAAAAAAGAAGACCGCAAGGUCAAGCUAAUAAGGGCUAACGGUGGAUACCUAGGCAC
rnacentral:tRNA from 1 species